AUGAUUGGAUUGUUUCUGAGAUGUGCUGGAGAGCCGCUUUGGCUAAUUGCUUGCAGACUGCGAUCCAACCAGGCUUGCCAACUGUGGAGGCAGUAUGGAGGGGCUAAGAGUGCUACCACUCCUGUGCAUGAAACACGGGACAAAAGCCGACCACAGCAGAAGGCAGAACCAAGGAGUAGAGAGAAACUGACUCCUAAGAAUCCCCCCACUGUGAGCUCUGAAUUCAGCUGUGCCUUACCUUGCUUCCUGAACUUUCAAGGUUAGGUAAGCCAAUGAAUUGCUUUUUUGUUUAAACCAGUUUAGGCUAGGAUUUUGUUACAUGCCAAUUAAGGUGACUUAAUGAUAUAGAGCCUGGAGAAGGGAAUGGCAACCCACUCCAGUAUUCUUGCCUGGAAAAUUCCAUGGACAGAGGACUCUAGUGGGCUAGAGUCCAUGGGGUUGCAAAGAGUCACAUACAACUGAGCGACGGAGCACACACACCCAGUGAUAUAGAGAUCUGGUAUCAAAAACAAACAAACAAAAUUAAAAAAUAUCUAAGUCUAAAGGAGGCAUUGGGCAUAUGAGGAAAAGUUCUAGGAUCACAGCUGAGAGACUGAGGCCCAGCACAAAAGCUGGUGGAACCUAGAAAUGUCUACAAGUUGACUCACAGACUCAUGGUGCACCUUCAGGUAAAAAUAAUUAAGCAAACAAAUAAAACAUCUGAUUUCUUCUGUGUGGCCACAUAUGUUUGACUGGGGAGUUUUGAGAGAGAGAAACUGGAAAAGUACCAGAAUCCAAGAUGGUGGCUCUGGCAGGAAAGUGGAGCAGAGAUCGGGAGUUCUCUUCAGGAAACUAGCUGAGGAGUCAGCCAUUUUACAAUAUCUGCUCUGCUGGGGGAAAGCAAUGGGGUAGCUUGCUAAAUGUUGAGCAAGGAUGCUUGCAACAACUGCAUUAUUUAGGGCUUCUGUGACUUCAAAUAAGAGGCUUUCCCAAACUUGGGAAGGUGCCUUUAGGGCCAAAAAUAAAGGGGUGUGACUCUGCUAGCACACAAGCAGAAAGAACUCAGACAAAUGAGGAAUUGUAGUUUUAUGAAAUGGGGACUGUACAAAGCAGAUGCAUUAGGAAUUUGGAACCAGGAUAAGACAGUACAUUGUUUGUUCAAUUCCUGGUAGAAAUCCUGCCCCCCAAAUUAUUUUUAAUCAUAUAUGGCAACUUUUUUACCAAAGAAGAGCUUUGAUGAAAUGCUAGGAUAAAAAUCGUGGCAAGUACAGCUCAGAAGAAUUUUGGAACUCAGAAACUUCCCUCCCAAACCACAGUUAGUCCAGUGCCUGUUUCUGGCAGGAAUGGCCAACUCAGGGCUGAUCAGGCAGCAGGGGCAAAAGAUCAAAGUUUUCUUUACAUUAGGAAUUUUACGUUAGGGCUCUAACAUUCUUCUGAUUCAUGAGUUUUGGAGUAUUUGGGAUCAUUUAACUCUGCUUCUACUGAGUAAACAUUAGAAACUAUUUAAAAAGCAAGACAGAAUUAACUCAGUCCAGUACACAUUCAAAUACCAAGGUCUAAGUCCCUUGGGCAAGACAUUUGCCAACGACAGAAAUCUAGCGCUCCAUCUAGGAAGCCAAAGGAAUCAGUCCACACCUUAGCCCCUUCUCAUACCGUAAGACAGCUCAUCUGGGUACCAUGUGCUAAGCUAUGCUUAUAGCAGAAAAACAUUUCCAGUACAUUCAAUCCUUGUUUUAUAUGGCAAAUAGGAGAAGUGGUCUGGCUCUGUGAUAAAAAGCUCAGUACCCAGAAUUAAACAGAUAGUUGAGAAAAAGGCAAUAGAUCAACUCUAGAAUAGUGCCUAAGGCAUGGCAAGGACUUAAAAAAUAUGAGUGAAUGAAUAAAGCACAAACUAAGUGAAUGAAUAAGGCACAAGCUAAUGAAUAAAUGAAUAACUGAACUACUAGACUGGUUGGUUGUGCCGUUUAAAAUGAAACGUGGAAGAGACCCACCUGAAGAAUUUUGGAACUCAGAAACUUCCCUCCCAAACCACAGUUAGUCCAGUGCCUGUUUCUGGCAGGAAUGGCCAACUCAGGGCUGAUCAGGCAGCAGGGGCAAAAGAUCAAAGUUUUCUUUACAUUAGGAAUUUUACGUUAGGGCUCUAACAUUCUUCUGAUUCAUGAGUUUUGGAGUAUUUGGGAUCAUUUAACUCUGCUUCUACUGAGUAAACAUUAGAAACUAUUUAAAAAGCAAGACAGAAUUAACUCAGUCCAGUACACAUUCAAAUACCAAGGUCUAAGUCCCUUGGGCAAGACAUUUGCCAACGACAGAAA
ensembl:lncRNA